rnacentral:rRNA from 1 species
UACGUAGGGUGCAAGCGUUAAUCGGAAUUACUGGGCGUAAAGUGUGCGCAGGCGGCGCCGCAUGUCGAGUGUGAAAGCCCCGAGCUUAACUUGGGAAUUGCGCUCGAAACUACGGUGCUGGAGUGUGGCAGAGGAAGGUGGAAUUCCACGUGUAGCGGUGAAAUGCGUAGAGAUGUGGAGGAACACCGAUGGCGAAGGCAGCCCCCUGGGAUAACACUGACGCUCAUGCACGAAAGCGUGGGGAGCAAACAGG